rnacentral:antisense_RNA from 1 species
GUAGGAGCAAAGCUUGCUCGCGUUGACGGUGUGUCAGUCGACAUGUAUUUUGAAUGUUCCGCCAUCGCGAGCAAGCUUUGCUCCUAC